GACGUAGGGCGCGAGCGUUGUCCGGAUUUAUUGGGCGUAAAGAGCUCGUAGGCGGCUUGUCGCGUCGUCCGUGAAAACCCACAGCUCAACUGUGGGCUUGCGGUCGAUACGGGCAGGCUAGAGUUCGGUAGGGGAGACUGGAAUUCCCGGUGUAGCGGUGGAAUGCGUAGAGAUCGGGAAGAACAUCGGUGGCGAAGGCGGCCAGCUGGGCCAUUGCUGACGCUGAUGCGCGACAGCGUGGGGAGCAAACAGG
rnacentral:rRNA from 1 species